rnacentral:rRNA from 1 species
GAUGAACGCUGGCGGCGUGCCUAAUACAUGCAAGUCGAGCGAACAGACGAGGAGCUUGCUCCUCUGACGUUAGCGGCGGACGGGUGAGUAACACGUGGAUAACCUACCUAUAAGACUGGGAUAACUUCGGGAAACCGGAGCUAAUACCGGAUAAUAUAUUGAACCGCAUGGUUCAAUAGUGAAAGACGGUUUUGCUGUCACUUAUAGAUGGAUCCGCGCCGCAUUAGCUAGUUGGUAAGGUAACGGCUUACCAAGGCGACGAUGCGUAGCCGACCUGAGAGGGUGAUCGGCCACAAUGGAACUGAGACACGGUCCAGACUCCUACGGGAGGCAGAAGUAGGGAAUCUUCCGCAAUGGGCGAAAGCCUGACGGAGAAACGCCGCGUGAGUGAUGAAGGUCUUCGGAUCGUAAAACUCUGUUAUGAGGGAAGAAAAAAUGUGUAAGUAACUAUGCACGUCUGGACGGUACCUAAUCAGAAAGACACGGCUAACUACGUG